GGGAAAGCUAGACCUGCAGAGUGAAGAAAGCUGGUAAUAGAUGUCUGACAAACUAAAGAAAGACUUGUGUUACGAUGCAAAGUAUUGUUCCUGGGUGUGUCUGUGAGAGUAUUGCCAAAGGAGAGCAGUGAACUGGGAAAAGCAGACCCACCUCAAUGUGGGUGGGCAACAUCCAAUCGGCUGCCAGCUAGAAUAAACCAGGCAGGAGAAGAUGGAAGAGCCGACUUGCUGAAUCUUCCAGCCUUCAUCUUUCUCGUGUGCUGGAUGCUUCCUGCCCUCAAACAUCAGACUCCAGGUUCUUCGUCUUUUGGACUCUCGGAUUUACAUCAGUGGUUUACCAGGUGCUCUCAGGCCUUCAGCCACACACUGAAGGCUGAAUUGUCGGCUUCCCGACUUUUGAGAUUUUGAAACUUGGACUGAGCUACUGCUGGCUUCCUUGCUUCUCAACUUACAGAUGGGACUUCACCUAUAGAUCAUGAAAACCAGAAUCAUGGCAUUCUGAAGACAACAGAUGAUUUGACAAAACCUACAGAUGUUCCUCAUUUGGAAUCCCAUUGAGCCUGAUCUGCUUUUCAUUGCAUAUGCUCUGUUGCUAAAACUAUACAAGCACCUUCCCUCUAGGCCCAGGGACUAUUGUGCAAGAGGUGGUUGCAUGAGAUUACAAGGGCUGGUUUUGAGGGAUAUAAUUAGUUCAGAUCCUCUCAAUGAAGGAUGGGUACACAGAUGCCUAAACAGCUGGUAAAACAGGGACUUUGCCUUCUGAGCUGUUAUGUGGCACCUUUUAAUCCAUUCUAACCAUAAAUAAUUUGCUGAUUCCUGUAGAAUUAAAAACAAAUUAUUACUGAAAGAAUAUAAAGAUACCCAUGACAAAGCCUCCUGGGUACUCCCAGUUAUGAGAUUUAUGAAGAUAAUUAUAUAUUAAAAAUUUUUAUCAGACACCUUGGGACACAUUACUAAAGACAACAAAAAGAAAUGUGGCACAACAAAAAGCUCUAAAUUCCUUAGCUUAAAAGGUUUUAAUAAUGCUUAUGUUCUGUGUAGCUAAUUGCUAUAAGUCUGUAACUAAAACCAAGAUUACAGCAGCUCAAUGUAUAGAAGUUAAAGAUAAGUUAAUUUUGUAUCUUCACCUUUGUGUUUUUGUUUGUUGGCUUUUAUAUUACUUAAAAAAAUUUAACAGUUAAUGAAUGCCUGUCUAUGUCCAUUCCCAUCUGGGCUGGAACAUUUAAAUUGGCUAUAAGUUUUUGGAUCUAGGUCCCUUGGCAAUAGGGGUUCCACUGAGGGACAGGAUGAACCUGGGGCAGGCAGCCAUGCCACCCUGACAACACUAUGCGAUAAAGUAAAUGUUUACUGGCCAUUGAUCUUGCCUAUGGCAAAUGUUGGCCAGAAGGGGGAGAAUGUAAACCAAAACUAAAAUUCUAAGCCCCCCAACCAUCUGAAUGGACCUCUACUUUUGGCAAGGUGCAUUCCAAAGUUAACCUGAAAACUAGUUCAGGCCAUGAUGGGAAAGGGGAGGUCAGACAUGUCUCAUUAUACCUUCCUCCCUUUUGUAAUUCAGAAAAAGCUGACCAGCAUUAACACCAAUACAGAUCUUAAGUCUAAUAGAAGAGACUCUUUCAAUCUGAUAAGAAACAUUUACAAUCUAGUCUCUCAGAAGCCUGAUAUCUUGAGGUUUCAUCUACUUAAUAAACCCUUGGUCUCCACAACCCCUUAUCUUAACCGAGGUAUUCCUUUCUAUUGAUCGUAAGCCUUUAGACAAUUACUUAACUCAACCAAUUGCCAAUCAGAACAUCUUUGAAUCUGCCUUUGACUUUUGACUUGCAAGCCCUACUUCCAGUUGUCUUGCCUUUCUGGACAGAACUAAUGUACAUCUUGCAUGUAUUGAUUGAUGUCUUAGUCUCCUUAAAAUGUAAAAAACAAGUUGUAGGCUGACCACCUUGGACACAUGUUCUCAGGGUCUCCUGAGGGCUGUCUCACAGGCCAUUGGUCACUCAUGUUUGCUCAGAAUAAAUCUCUUCAAAUGUUUUACAGAGUUUGAUAUUUUGUUGACACAUGGCUCCAUUUUUUUUUCCUCUGGCCUCACUGCCCAAAAUUUAUACUUUUAGUCUUAAAAAGCAUAUUUAUUUUGAGAACCAAAAAGCUGAUCAUGAAAGAGAAACAUGUUAGUUUUAAAUCAUAAUUACUUUGGACAUUGACUGACAAAUUACUUCUGAAUGGGUCACUAUUCUAAUAACUAAUAACAAGAGGUCAAUGAAAGCGAGUAAAAAUAAGAAGCAUUUCAACCCAUAGUUAUUUUCAGUGCAGCAGCAAAUUGAAUCAUGGUUGUACCUCAUUCCUUUCUGCUCUUUAGCUUCAGAGGGGGAGUAAUCAGUGAAGAAAGCAGGAAUCAUCUGAGUUUAAGUAUUACAAUUUAUGACAUGAUUUAUAUCGUAAGAUAACAACAGUCAAAUCUUGUCCAUAGUUUGUAAACUUGAGAAGCCAAAUUUUAA
rnacentral:lncRNA from 1 species